UACAGAGGUCUCAAGCGUUGUUCGGAUUCAUUGGGCGUAAAGGGUGCGUAGGUGGCGCGGUAAGUCGGGGGUGAAAUCUCGGGGCUUAACUCCGAAACUGCAUUCGAUACUGCCGUGCUUGAGGACUGGAGAGGAGACUGGAAUUUACGGUGUAGCGGUGAAAUGCGUAGAUAUCGUAAGGAAGACCAGUGGCGAAGGCGGGUCUCUGGACAGUUCCUGACGCUGAGGCACGAAGGCCAGGGGAGCAAACGGG
rnacentral:rRNA from 1 species